AGGGUUCGAUUCUGGCUCAGGAUGAACGCUAGCUACAGGCUUAACACAUGCAAGUCGAGGGGCAGCAUGAGGUUGCUGCAAACCUGAUGGCGACCGGCGCACGGGUGAGUAACGCGUAUCCAACCUGGCCCUUAGUAGGGGAUAGCCCGGCGAAAGUCGGAUUAAUACCCUAUGUUAUCCGACGAUGGCAUCUGAAUCGGAUCAAAGGCUUGCCGCUAAGGGAUGGGGAUGCGUCCGAUUAGCUUGCCGGCGGGGUAACGGCCCACCGGGGCAUCGAUCGGUAGGGGUUCUGAGAGGAAGGUCCCCCACACUGGUACUGAGACACGGACCAGACUCCUACGGGAGGCAGCAGUGAGGAAUAUUGGUCAAUGGGCGUAAGCCUGAACCAGCCAAGUAGCGUGCCAGGACGACGGCCCUACGGGUUGUAAACUGCUUUUAUGCGGGGAUAACGUGCGCCACGCGUGGCGCCUUGCAGGUACCGCAUGAAUAAGGACCGGCUAAUUCCGUGCCAGCAGCGGC
rnacentral:rRNA from 1 species